rnacentral:misc_RNA from 1 species
AACAAAGAGUGGGCGCAAAGAGAUAAGCACCUGGCAUCCAUUAAUGGCGAAAGAUUGACAAUAUUACCACCGUAUCACCAUAUUUGAAGGAUAGGAUAAUGUUGCCUAAAAAAGGAGGGUGGCUAAGGGUCUUUUACCCGAAUUACAUGUGAGACCCACGUAAAACACAAAAUCUUAGCAAGAGCCACUAAAAUUUAAAAAAAGUGCUGGAUUUUUCUUGGCUUGCGCUUCGCACCCAACGUCGUUCCCAGGGUCCUAUAUAGCGCUCUGUAGUUACAGGCUAGGCAGCUGAGCUCAUUGCACGUGGUCCUAAAGCGCGCCACUUUGCGCCGUUUUGAGGAAACAUCACGAAAACUUUUUGAUUAGAAAAGAUCAGACUGACUGCAUCUCGACAUGGGAGACAAAGUUUUAAUUGUUGGUGGAGGAGGAAGAGAACACGCUAUAGCAUGGAAGCUUGCACAGUCUAACCACGUCGGAACAAUUCUCGUUGCACCAGGUAACGCUGGGACUGCUGGUCAGCCGAAAACACAGAAUGUUCUUUCCUCGAUACUCAACCAGAACGAUAACCAAAGCAUUGUAAAAUACUGUGUAGAAAGCAAGGUAGACUUUGUUGUAAUUGGACCUGAAGCACCGUUAGCUAAUGGCUUGGGAGACUGUCUCAGAGAGAACAACAUUCCUUGUUUCGGGCCAAGUCGAAGUGCCGCCCGAAUCGAGUCCAGUAAACAAUUUGCAAAAGAGUUUAUGCAGCGGCAUAAUAUUCCCACGGCACGCUGGAAAGCUUUCACAGACGCGGAGCAAGCAUGCAAACAUAUUGAAUUAUCAGAUUAUGAAGCUUUGGUGGUUAAGGCUAGUGGUUUGGCGGCUGGUAAAGGAGUUGUAGUUGCUAAAUGCAAAGAAGAGGCCAUGAAGGCUGUGAAAGAUAUGCUACAGGACAAGAUCUUUGGUGAGGCAGGAUCAACAAUAGUAGUUGAAGAAAAAUUAGAAGGAGAAGAGGUUUCUGUGCUUUGUUUUACUGAUGGUAAGACAGUAGCAGUCAUGCCUCCUGCCCAAGAUCACAAGCGUUUGUUAGACAAUGAUCAGGGUCCCAACACUGGAGGGAUGGGUGCAUAUGCCCCUUGUCCCCAGGUCUCCAUGAAGCUCAAGGAAGAAAUUUCUAGAGAUGUUCUACAAAGAGCAGUUGAUGGUUUGAGAGAAGAAGGUUGCGAUUUUGUAGGGGUUCUAUUUGCAGGGAUAAUGUUAACAGCUGAUGGACCCAGGGUUCUAGAGUUUAACUGCCGGUUUGGCGAUCCAGAGACACAAGUAAUUAUGCCACUCCUGAAGAGCGAUCUCUACGCAACCCUAAUGGAGUGUGUAAAUGGUGACCUCAGCCUGUCCCUACCCUUGUGGCAUACAGAUAGGUAUGCUGUGGGUGUGGUGGCAGCAAGUGCUGGCUACCCUGGUUCUGUGAAGAAAGGGUGUGUCAUUCACGGAUUGAAAGACUUGGAGGAUGCAGAAAAUGUAGUUGUGUUUCACGCUGGAACUGCUGCAAAAAUGGUUGAAGGUAAAGAAGAAGAAGCAGUAGUUACUUCAGGUGGAAGAGUAAUGGCAAUUGUUGGUCUUGCACAAGGAAUAAAUGAUGCUCAGAAAACAGCUUAUGAUGGUAUGAGGAAGAUUUGCUUUGAUGGAAUCCAGUAUAGAAUUGAUAUUGCAUCAAGAGCUUGCAGAACCAAAGGCUUGACGUAUUCUGGUGCUGGUGUGGAUGUAGAUGCUGGUAACCUGCUUGUAAAUGCUAUCAAGCCAUUAGCUGCAUCUACAGCUCGCAAGGGCUGUACAGCUGAUCUUGGUGGGUUUGGAGGCUUCUUUGAUCUCAAGGCUGCUGGCUUCACAGACCCUUUGCUUGUCAGUGGUACAGAUGGGGUUGGAACAAAACUUAAGAUUGCACAGGCUGUUGGUAUGCACAGUUCAGUGGGUAUUGAUCUGGUUGCGAUGUGUGUGAACGACAUUCUUGCUCAUGGUGCUGAGCCCCUUUUCUUCCUGGACUACUUUGCUACUGGCAGGCUGGAUGUGGGUGUCACCAAGGAAGUUAUUCGUGGUAUCUCACAUGGUUGUUCACAAGCUGGAUGUGCUCUUUUGGGAGGUGAGACAGCAGAAAUGCCAGGGAUGUACUCAUCUGGUGAAUACGACAUUGCUGGAUUUGCUGUAGGCGCCGUUGAUCGAGACAAAGUUCUUCCCCAAUCACAGAGUAUCACUACAGAUGAUGUGGUCAUUGGUUUGGCAUCUUCUGGCAUUCACAGCAACGGCUUCAGUUUGGUGCGGCAGAUCAUUGAUAAAUCUGAAUUAAGUUACAGUUCCCCCAGUCCAAUUAGGACUACGGAAGGGCUACAGUCUGUUACCAAACUAGGUGAAGUUCUUCUUGUGCCAACCAGGAUUUACUGCCGUUCUGUCCUUCCUCUGAUGCGAGAUGGAAAGGUGAAGGCCUUUGCUCAUAUCACAGGGGGAGGUUUGAUUGAGAACAUUCCACGUGUCCUCCCUGAUGGUAUGGGUGUGUCACUGGAUGCUAGUUUGUGGAUUAUGCCUCCAGUGUUUGGUUGGAUAUUUGGACAAGGAAAUGUUUCAACACAUGAAAUGGCCAGGACAUUUAACUGCGGUAUUGGAGCAGUCCUCAUUGUAGCAAAAGACAUCGCUGCCUCGGUAAUGGAACAUUUCAAAACAUCUGAAGAGCAAGCUUGGAUUAUAGGAAAAGUUACUGAAUGCACAACAGAAAACAGCAGCAGGGUGGUUGUUGGAAAUCUUGAAGAUGUGCUUUGCAAAUCUGCAGCAAAGGCAGAAAUCAAACAUCAAGUCAAUGCAAACAGAGUCAAUGGACCUGCUAAAAGGCCAAAAUUAAGCAAUGGACAAAUGGAUCAACAACCCAAAGACAAAGAAAUGAAAGUGGGUGUUCUUAUCUCGGGAUCGGGAACAAACCUACAAGCAUUGAUUGAUCAAAGCUUAAGGCAAGACAGUAGUGCCAAGAUUGUACUGGUCAUUUCAAACGUACCUGGAGUGCAAGGUUUGUCACGGGCCGAGAAAGCUGGUAUACCAACUAAAGUAAUUAAGCACAAGGAAUUCAAGAGUCGUUUGGAUUUUGACAUGGCUGUGCAUGCAGCAUUGGAGGAGGCUGGGGUGGAAUUGGUUUGUUUGGCAGGAUUUAUGAGAAUUGUAACAGCAGAAUUUGUUCGCAAAUGGCAUGGCCGACUACUGAAUGUCCACCCUUCAUUGCUCCCAUCCUUUAAAGGCAUGCAUGCCCACAAACUUGUGCUCGAGGCUGGUGUUUGUAUAUCAGGCUGUACUGUCCAUUUUGUUGAGGAAGAGGUUGAUGCUGGAGCAAUAGUGACUCAAGAAGCAGUUCCAGUGUUACACGGAGACACAGUCGAGACACUUCAAGAGCGAGUGAAAUGUGCUGAACAUAGAGCUUAUCCACGAGCCAUGGAGCUACUGGCUAGUGGCAGAAUAAAACUAAGUGAUGACAACAAAGUACAGUGGAUGUGGUAGUAAAGAAACCCAACUGCCACAGUAAUGACAAACCUCUUACUUCUGGACAGAUAGUGCGUGUUUUAGCCACAUAAAUUAAAAUAGAUUACAUGUAAACAGGUGUUGUGUUAUAAUUCAGUGGAAAGCUUGAAGUGCUAUAAGCUUUGCAACAGAUGUGUGGAUUUGCAAGUAGAUAGAAGAGAAGUUUGCAAACAUGUUAUUCAUCACUGCUUGCACUUGUGAACUGUUUUGUUAGGUGUUGUGUUAGAAUUCAGUGGAAAGCUUGAGGCGUUAUAAGCUUUGCAACAGACGUGUGGAUUUGCAAGUAGAUAGAAGAGAAGUUUGCAAACAUGUUAUUCAUCUCUGCUUGCACUUGUGAACUGUUUUGUUAGGUGUUCAGUGGAAAGCUUGAAAGUGGAAAGCUUGAAGCGUUAUAAGCUUUGCAACAGAUGUGUGGAUUUGCAAGUAGAUCGAAGAGACGUUUGUAAACAUGUUAUUCAUCACUGCUUGCACUUGUGAAAUAUUGGUUUUAUUAGGUGUUGUGUUACAAUUCAGUGGAAAGCUUGAAGCGCUAUAAGCUUUGCAACAGAAGUGUGGAUUUGCAAGUAGAUAGAAGAGAAGUUUGCAAACAUGUCAUUCAUCACUGCUUGCACUUGUGAACUGUUUUGUUAAGUGCUGUGUUAUAAUUCAGUGGAAAGCUUAAAGCGCUAUAAGCUUUGCAACGGAAGUGUGGAUUUCCAUGUAGAUAGAAAAGAAGUUUGCAAACAUGUUAUUUAUCACUGCUUGCACUUGUGAACUGUUAGUUUUUUUAUACAAACAUGACUGGGUUCUCAAAUGAGGUUUUCCAUGUGCCUGUCAAUUUUGGUACAUGAUGCCUGAACUGUUAAUAAUAAAAAUAUAAGUUUGCCAGA